GGCACGAUGGCGGAGUGGUUAACGCGCUGCCCUGCUAUCAAGUAGACAAGGCAGUCCUUUCGAGGGCGCAGGUUCGAAUCCUGCUCGUGUCG